rnacentral:tRNA from 1 species
AAAAUUUUAGUUUAAGAAAAAAAAAUAUUUCAUUUACAAUGAAAAGUUUAAUUUAAUAAAUUAAAAUUUUA